CCGGAAGAAGGCCUUGUGGUCGCCGUGACCCCCCGCGAGUUAAAAAGCUUUUCCUUCAAGUUCGGGGUCCCGAAGCCCCGCGUGUCCCUUGCACUCUUCCCCCCCCCCCCCCCAAGGGGCCCUCCCAUCACAGCCCGAGCGGCAUCCAGAAGUGAAACUGCCAGGGUCACAGCCCAGCGCCGCCGCUGCGCCCCGCCCCGCCCUUCCGGGCACUGCAGCCGGGCAGGAUCUCCCGGCGCUCGGGCGACGGCCGGGGAGGAAACGGGGGAGGGAAGGAAGUGCCCCACGGGCAGCCUGCUUGCACGCGCCCGCUCUCCCGGGGUGCCCUCCCGGAACCACGAGUGGGAACCGCGUGAGGCUCCCGCACUUCCCACGACGGCCGCUGGGUGUCGCUGCAGCCGCGCGGCUGAGCCGGCCCGGUGCCGUCCACGUCCGGGGCUCGGUGACACAGGGAGCUGGAGCCCCCUGGCUACGACCACACGCGGGCCCCGCCUGGCCGUCGCGCCUGGAUGCCACGCGAGGCUUGAAGGCCUUGCCCACAGAUCGCAACACCGACCCCUACUGAAGACCAGGCUGACCCCCGUGGUGAUGGGCUCGCCGCCGGAGACCCUGCUGAGCCGAGGCGCGCCCCCUGGCGAGGCAGACAGGUGGCCCUGUGGAGUCUUGCGCCGCCGGUGGCACCUCCAUGCUGCCUGGGCUGAGGAGGGGCAUGCGCACGUGUCCAGAACGGCCGGCCUUGGGGAUGGGUUCCCGGGGCUUCCUCAUCACUCCUACUCCAGCUUUGCCCAAAAGCCAAGCUCCAAGACCUUGGGGCAAGGUGGCUUGCUGGGAAGGGGGAGCUCAAGGUGGGGAGCCCGUAUGGGGACUGAUGGAGGGCCCAGGCUGGGAGAGAGAGGAGGUCGCUGGACUCCUUUGGAAGAUUGUUGUGGCUCCCAGCGGGAACGCCUGCUUCCACGUGUCCUGGAGGAUCUGACUCAGGGCACAGGAAUUGGCAGCCAAACUGCUUCGCCCAGGGCCCUGGAGAAAAAACACCGCCAUAGUGCCCCUCUUUGUGGUGGAUGGCAGCUCUGCAAGGGGGCACGAGAGGCCAUCGUAGCUCGGCCCAGACUCCACUAG
rnacentral:lncRNA from 1 species